rnacentral:rRNA from 1 species
CACGGAGUUAGCCGGGGCUUCUUCUGGUGGUACAGUCAUUAUCUUCCCACCUGAAAGAUCUUUACAACCCUAAGGCCUUCAUCGAUCACGCGGCAUGGCUAGAUCAGGGUUUCCCCCAUUGUCUAAGAUUCCCCA